rnacentral:rRNA from 1 species
CCCUUAGAUGUCCUGGGCCGCACGCGCGCUACACUGAGUGUCUGAGAUACGAGUCUGCCUGGUCCGGCAAGGUCUAGGUAAUCGCUAAAAGACACAUCAUGCUUGGGAUAGAUUAUUGCAAAUAUUAAUCUUGAACGAGGAAUUCCUAGUAAGCGCAAGUCAACAGCUUGCGUUGAUUACGUCCCUGCCCUUGUACACACCGCCCGUCGCUACUACUGAUUGGAUGUUUAAGCGAGGUUCUCGAACUGCUAGCGACUUAGCUUCGGUGAGGUCGCAGUGUGGGAAGUGAACCUAGCUUUGGUGUCUAGAGGAAGUAAAAGUCGUAACA